rnacentral:rRNA from 1 species
GACGAACGCUGGCGGCGUGCCUAAUACAUGCAAGUAGAACGCAGUUGCGAACGGGUGAGUAACGCGUAGGUAACUGCCUCAUAGCGGGGGAUAACUAUUGGAUACGAUAGCUAAUACCGCAUCCUGUGAGAUGGACCUGCGUUGUAUUAGCUAGUUGGUGAGGUAAAGGCUCACCAGGGCGACGAUACAUAGCCGACCUGAGAGGGUGGUCGGCCAGACUGGGACUAGGAGACGGCCCAGACUCCUACGGGAGGCAGCAGUAGGGAAUCUGCGGCAAUGGACGGAAGGCGGAAAGGGCAACGCCGCGUGAGUGAAGAAGGUGUUCGGAUCGUAAGGCUCGGUUGUUAGAGAAGCGGUAGCUAACCAGAAAGGGACGGCUAACUACGUGCCAGCAGCCGCGGUAAUAC